CUACGGGAUGCACCAGUGAGGAAUUUUGCGCAAUGGGGGAAACCCUGACGCAGCAACGCCGCGUGAGCGAAGAAGGCCCUCGGGUCGUAAAGCUCUGUCAAGUGGGAAAAAAAUCUUUUGAUGAAUAGUCAAGAGACUUGAUGGUACCACUGGAGGAAGCACCGGCUAACUCCGUGCCAGCAGCCGCGGUAAUACGGAGGGUGCAAGCGUUGUUCGGAAUUACUGGGCGUAAAGAGCGUGUAGGCGGUUUGACAAGUCAGAUGUGAAAGCCCCGGGCUCAACCUGGGAAAUGCAUUUGAAACUGUUUGACUAGAGUAUGGGAGAGGAGAUUGGAAUUCCUGGUGUAGAGGUGAAAUUCGUAGAUAUCAGGAGGAACACCCGUGGCGAAGGCGAUUCUCUGGGCCAAUACUGACGCUGAGACGCGAAAGCGUGGGGAGCAAACAGGAUUAGAUACCCUCGUAGUC
rnacentral:rRNA from 1 species